rnacentral:rRNA from 1 species
GAUGAACGCUGGCGGCGUGCCUAAUACAUGCAAGUCGAGCGAACAGACGAGGAGCUUGCUCCUCUGACGUUAGCGGCGGACGGGUGAGUAACACGUGGAUAACCUACCUAUAAGACUGGGAUAACUUCGGGAAACCGGAGCUAAUACCGGAUAAUAUAUUGAACCGCAUGGUUCAAUAGUGAAAGACGGUUUUGCUGUCACUUAUAGAUGGAUCCGCGCCGCAUUAGCUAGUUGGUAAGGUAACGGCUUACCAAGGUAACGAUGCGUAGCCGACCUGAGAGGGUGAUCGGCCACACUGGAACUGAGACACGGUCCAGACUCCUACGGGAGGCAGCAGUAGGGAAUCUUCCGCAAUGGGCGAAAGCCUGACGGAGCAACGCCGCGUGAGUGAUGAAGGUCUUCGGAUCGUAAAACUCUGUUAUUAGGGAAGAACAAAUGUGUAAGUAACUAUGCACGUCUUGACGGUACCUAAUCAGAAAGCCACGGCUAACUACGU